GGAGGCUCUCACUUUCCGUCAUGGCGCUGAAAGUAGCGACCGUCGCCGGCAGCGCCGCGAAGGCGGUGCUCAGGCCAGCCCUUCUCUGCCGUCCCUGGGAGAUGAGGCCAUGAAGCCAUCUCAAGAAGAGUGGAUGGUGGAUUUGGACCGAGGCCUCCCUAGUCUCCAGAUCUUUUUUCAUUUUCUGAUGUGCUUGUUCACUCAGGAAAUGUUCCUUAUGUGCCAGCUCUGGGCCAGCGACCACAUGCUGCUUUUGUAAUAAGAAAAAGUGAUCGGCGAAGUGAUAACGUGACUGUUGUCAUGGAUCUGUGGUUUGUUGUAAUGAUUUCCCUGCUGUACCAGGGUUAGUUUGCCACCUCCGUCCGCUAAGUAUGGCGGGCGGCACACGGUGACCAUGAUCCCAGGGGAUGGCAUCGGGCCAGAGCUCAUGCUGCAUGUCAAGUCCGUCUUCAGGCACGCAUGUGUACCAGUGGACUUUGAAGAGGUGCACGUGAGUUCCAAUGCUGAUGAAGAGGACAUUCGCAAUGCCAUCAUGGCCAUCCGCCGGAACCGCGUGGCCCUGAAGGGCAACAUCGAAACCAACCAUAACCUGCCACCGUCGCACAAAUCUCGAAACAACAUCCUUCGCACCAGCCUGGACCUCUAUGCCAACGUCAUCCACUGUAAGAGCCUUCCAGGCGUGGUGACCCGGCACAAGGACAUAGACAUCCUCAUUGUCCGGGAGAACACAGAGGGCGAGUACAGCAGCCUGGAGCAU
rnacentral:sRNA from 1 species